rnacentral:lncRNA from 1 species
ACUUAUAUUAGAUAAUCUUCUGAUUUUUAAAUAUUUUAGGAAAGAGUUUCCAUAUGUAAAAAUCUAAAAAUAAUCUGAUCAAUGAAUAGAUGCUUAUUGCAUUUUUUAUUGGGCGCACGUGAGAGAAGAAUAAAACAUUGUAUCUGAUAAGAGAGUUUUACAUGUAGAAGGACUCUUAUCAGAUAUAACUUUUCCUUGGUUUAGAACAUGGAAAGACCUCUGAAAAUCAAUAUGGGGCAUGU